ACUGUCCGAAAAUUAUCAAAAAAUUUAAUUCGUAAACGUCCAAAAAAUGUUAAAAUCAAGAAAAAGACAUAAAAACGACUAAAAAAAAUUCUGAAUCGCACUUGUCACAUGAGAAUAUCAAUACGAAUAAAAUGUCAAAAUUUCACAUUUUUAUGUGACUGCCAUAAAAUAUAAAAAAAUUAAUUUUUAAACGUCCGAAAAAUAUAAAAAUCAAGAAAA
rnacentral:lncRNA from 1 species